rnacentral:tRNA from 1 species
GCGCUCAUAGCUCAACGGUAGAGCAGGGGCCUCUUAAGCCCAAGGUUGUAGGUUCGAGUCCUACUGGGCGCACCA